rnacentral:rRNA from 1 species
UACGAAGGGUGCAAGCGUUACUCGGAAUUACUGGGCGUAAAGGGUGCGUAGGUGGUUUGUUAAGUCUGCUGUGAAAUCCCCGGGCUCAACCUGGGAAUGGCAGUGGAUACUGGCAAGCUAGAGUGCGGUAGAGGGUAGUGGAAUUCCCGGUGUAGCAGUGAAAUUCGUAGAUAUCGGGAGGAACACCUGUGGCGAAAGCGGCUCACUGGACCACAACUGACGCUGAGGCGCGAAAGCUAGGGGAGCAAACAGG